rnacentral:tRNA from 1 species
UCCCUUGUAGCUCAGUUGGUAGAGCGGGUGGCUGUUAACCACUAGGUCGGCAGUUCGAGUCUGUCCGAGGGAG